GUACAUAACGACCACCCAGGUAUAUGUGCACCAACACUUCAGGAAAAGUGCAGAUCGUGCUUGAAAAGGAGCGAAACCAAUGGUCGAGACGCUAUAAAUAUUUGAGCCAGUUAUGAUCGAGAGAAAUUUAUAUACUGUUAAGAAUAUUGUUUAUCGAUCAUAAUCAUUCAUUGCCUCAAGUGUUGGGGGAGCCUCGCGAGGAUCAUCAUGAAUCAUCGUGUCUUAAGCUUACAUCAGCAUAGGGUCGCAAAGAGUUAAUGGACAUAAGUAUUGACACACUCUCGUCGAGCAAGAUCUGAAGAAGAUGGACGAGAUAUGUUGAUGUAAAUAUAAUAUCCCGAUGGAGAUUUUAGAGGCCAACGCGCGCUUCUUCCUCAAUGAGUGCCACGACGCGGUACUUGAGGUACAGCGUCCUGCAAAAAUACGGAUGUAUGUACACGUGCGGAGAUCCUGCGAGUAGGUUGGACCAAAGCUAAGUAAGCGAGAUAUCUCUCUCUCCCCGUCCCGUCUCGUGGUUGCGUGCAUGUGGAAGACAGAUUUUCAGACCCCCGGGGCUAAACGCGUACUGACCGCCGUUAUUUAUGACCGUCCGACGAAAAGCAGGAAAAUUGCCACACGUUGAACACAUUUUUCUUUUUUCGGGAAAAUUGUUAAUUUUUUCGCCGAGCAAGACUUGGUCCCGUUACAAUAAGGAAUGACAACAAUGGAAGAGGUUGCUUCUUCAAUUCCACAUGUUUGCUGUUUGUACAAGUCAAGGUGACGUCAAUUUGACCAAAAUAUGGCAUAGAUUUGGUCAAUUAACGUGAAAUUCGCUUUCCACUUCUCCUUGGGACUUGAGACAUUAAGUAUUAGGCGACUUGCGAAUGAAAAUAAUUAUUAAUUCGUUUUACGUUUGUCACUCGGUUUCCAUGUCUUUUCUUUCGCCGUGGAUAUUCCACGUGUGUGUGUGUGCGUGUACGUAACAGUAUGCGUGUGCACGUGUACGCAGGCAACGCAGGCGCAGGCAGCUGUCACCUUACACCCAUGGAGGAGACAUGGGGCUGCGGCGGCCAUUCUCAACUUAUCUCUAGGAUCUUUGUAAACAUGUCGUGAAAUCCGAGUAUUUAGGCAGUGGCGUAGAUCGCGGGGUGGAAAGGAUCUAUCGGCCGCGAUCGCUGCGGGAAUUGAAAUUCUACGGUCGCCAAUAGCCCCAGUGUAAUUUUCGACGAGCGCUACAAUUUCAAAUGUUCUCGGCUGCCGAGAAAAUUGCCUUUCCCCUUGUCCGUGGCAACGGGGAAAUGUCGCGAUUCCGAAAAUUGCCUGUCUUUUUUUUGUCCAUUCACAUUUUCGCAGCGCAGAUAAAUUGUAUUUAUCGUUAAACAUCGCGCCGGUUUCGAUGACCGAUUAUGAUCCUUACCGGAUCACCGGACGUGACAUGCCGGCGCGACAUGCUGCGUGGUUUCCUUGACGACCAGGACCACGCCGGCGAUCAGUAAAUAGAGCGCAUCUUUGUUCCGUGCUAAUAAAAAGGAGAGAAAAAAAAAGACGCCCGGGUUGUAGGUCACGUCUGGACCCACUCUAUUAUGUCCCGAUGCUCCUGAUUUAUUACAUACACUCAGGAUUGCGCCUAAUGACUUGGUCCUCGAGAAUUAUGGAGCGCUAGAAUAUUUUAUAUCUCAACUAAAACUAUUCGACUUUCACACAUGCACCGACUAAAUUGCAAUUCGCAAGGGUUCAACUUGAUAUACAUUCUUUUCUUUUCAGCACCCCGUAUAUGUACAUAUAUUCGAGGGUUUCCCUCGGCGAAUUGGUAUUCCUCCGAUCGAUCAAGUUUUAAUACAUCGGCAAAUAUCGGCCGCCAACGUCUCUCUUUAGCUGGCUCUUAUUUUAUCUUACUCUACAUACUUUAUUCGCGUUUAAGUAUUUCAGUUGAUUCCUCGUAGAAUAUAUUAGAAUCCAAAUUAUUAGAUAAGAAGGGAAUAUUCAU